GCCCGGCGGGCGCAGGCGGCCCGGGCUGCCUCACGGCGGUGGGGUGGGGGAGCUGCCGACGGAGCUGCGCGGGGGCGCCGCCCGGGAAAGUGGAGACCCAGGUGCUGAGGAAAAAGGAAGAGACUAAGGAAAGACAUGGAAGAACCUGUAAGCAAGAUUGCUUGUGUUGGAUCCUGGAUGAACAGCAAGACCCAGUUUUCACUGCUGCUGGAAAUUUUUAAACAGCAAGAAGAUAAAUCUGUGGAGAAGGAAACAUACAAAGCUACAAGAUGGAGGAAGUGCAUUGUUCUUGUGUUCCAGUCAUGGAACGCUGACCCCUGGAAAACAGUGGUACUAUCAGCAUUAAGGGAGUGGAGGAAGGUGAAUCCUUGA
rnacentral:lncRNA from 1 species